rnacentral:rRNA from 1 species
GAUGAACGCUAGCUACAGGCUUAACACAUGCAAGUCGAGGGGAAACGAUGAGAGAGCUUGCUCUCUUAGUCGUCGACCGGCGCACGGGUGAGUAACGCGUAUCCAACCUGCCUCUGACCAAGGGAUAACCCGUCGAAAGUCGGACUAAUACCUUAUGCAGUCGUCGGAAGUCAUCUGAUGACGACGAAAGAUUUCAUCGGUGAGAGAUGGGGAUGCGUCUGAUUAGCUUGUUGGCGGGGUAACGGCCCACCAAGGCGACGAUCAGUAGGGGUUCUGAGAGGAAGGUCCCCCACAUUGGAACUGAGACACGGUCCAAACUCCUACGGGAGGCAGCAGUGAGGAAUAUUGGUCAAUGGGCGUAAGCCUGAACCAGCCAAGUAGCGUGCAGGAUGACGGCCCUAUGGGUUGUAAACUGCUUUUAUGCGGGGAUAAAGUGAGGGACGUGUCCUUCAUUGCAGGUACCGCAUGAAUAAGAACCGGCUAAUUCCGUG